CUCCCAGCCGUUAAGAGGCCAGUGUUGAUCAGUGGCUGUCCAGGCCUUUCAGAGACACUGGUACACCGGCAGCACAAUGAUGAUGUCACUGACUCUACUGCUGGCCACCCUGGGGCUCCUUGUUCAGGGUUCAUCAGGACAAAUCAUCCUGACUCAGUCUCCUGGAUCUCAGUCUGUUGUUGCAGGACAGUCUGUCUCUAUCAGAUGUAAAACCAGUACAAGUGUUGGUAGCUACCUCCACUGGUACCUUCAGAAAUCUGGAGAAGCUCCUAAACUCCUGAUUUAUUCAGCUACAACCCGUCAGUCUGGAGUUUCAGAUCGUUUUACUGGAAGUGGUUCUGGGACUGACUUCACUCUGACCAUCAGAGGAGUCGAGGCUAAAGAUUCAGGAGUUUACUACUGUCAGCAGGGUAGCAACUGGCCACUCACGUUCGGUGGAGGAACCAGACUGGAUGUUGGAAGUGAUUUGCGCCCCACCCUGACGGUGCUGCCCCCCUCCAGAGAAGAGCUGGAGCAGGGGAAGGCCACGCUCAUGUGCCUGGCCAACAAGGGCUACCCCUCAGACUGGAGUCUGGCCUGGAAGGUGGACGGCAGCAGUAGCAGCAGCUGGGAGGAGAGCAGGAGCCCCGGGGUGCUGGUGAAGGACGGCCACUACAGCUGGAGCAGCACCCUGAGGCUCCCUGCAGACCAGUGGAAGAAGGUGUGCUCUGUGACCUGUGAGGCCACCCAGGGCUCCCAGACUCCGCUCUCAGAGACACUGAGGAGAGACCAGUGUUCCCAGUCCUGAGCUGACUCACUGGCAGGGACUCUGCUACUGGUUUUACUCUGACACUGCUCUCACUCUGCACUCUGCAACUAGCUCUGGCUUUUAUUUCACCUGUUUCAAUAGACACAUUUACCAGCUUGUUGCAAUGUUUCAAUAUUAUUUCAGUGUGUCCAGAUAAUAAAGACGUAUUCAUCAAAUUAA